CUUGCGGGGAAAAAAGGGAGAGAGAGAGAGUGACUUUGAAAUCCCAGGCAGCAAACAGGAACAAUCCAGACAGCAGGUGAUAUUUCAAAGCUUCAGGUCAAGAUGAGUCAUCAAACCCUGAGGCCUUAUAUCCCUUCAGAUCCCCAGAAGUCUUCUGAAUUCCAGAAGCUUACUGACCUCUUUAAAGAUGUCUGAGCGCACAUGGACUUAGGAAACUGUAUUUGCUAUCCAGCCAAGGCAAGGAGUCCUCCUGAAUUCAGGAAGAAGACCUGGAGAG